ensembl:ncRNA F17H10.8 ncRNA
UGUUGAACAGAACAAAAAAACAGAAAAAGAAUUGCAUCGACCGGGAAUCGAACCCGGGCCGCCCGCGUGGCAGGCGAGCAUUCUACCACUGAACCACCGAUGCUUGGGAACACUACACACCAGUCUCAGUAGACAUGAUAGGCGGAUGAAGGACGGGGGGAGGGGGAAGGACGGCGACCACUACGUAAUG